rnacentral:lncRNA from 1 species
CCGACAGGAGAUCGGAGAAGGGCACUGACGACUUCGACAGAUGACAGAUCAUCGACGGGUUAUACUAUUCAUCUGGACAUCAGAGUUUCUGAGAAUGAGUCGGCCUUGGCCAAUCUGGCAUUGGCCAAGUGACUCAUCGAAGCUGCUCUUCUCCUAGCUGAUUGGGAGAAAAGAAAUAACAGAAUCGUCAUCGAGAUGUUCU